GGGGGGCCAAGGAUCCCCUAUAUAACACGGAUACUUCACUUUGUUGCCGUAUCGCGUAUCGGAUACGUAUCCGAUACCGAUACGCGACGGAUACGCGACGGAUACGUAUCCUGGGCGUAUCCGCGGGAUGGGCCGUAUUGGGCCGGGAAACCUCAGAUUCGAUACGUAUCUCGGUGGAUACGGCCCAGUUUAAAGCCCAUCUAAAGGAGCCGGCCCGAUAGAAUUAACGGGCUGGACCAAAAAGCCCAUUUGUGAUGUAGCCCAUUGCAGCUGGAUGAACAAAUCUAGCUCUAUAAAUAAUGAUGCUCUAUACAAUAUAAGAUUCCACACAAUUGAGAAAGCCGCAGCUAGGUCAAAAACUCCCCGCCUCCAUAGAUUCGCAGUAUGGCAUCUCCAAAUCUGAGUGCUACUGCUGCUAGUUCUAGUGCUAGUUCUGCUGCUAGUUCUAGUGUUGGAUCUGGGUCCAGACAAAUAACUGAUAUCAGGGCUCCAUUGUGGGAUCAUGUCACCAUUCUAGAGAAGCCUAAACCUGGUGGAGGAAAUAUAUUAUGGAGAAAGUGAAGAAAGAAAUAUAUUUGUAUGAAGGGAAGGAACCAAAUGAGGAGUCAGACCUCUACUCUGUUAUUCAUGAUAUAUUGAUUGCUAGGUGGACAAAAGGCAAUAAUCCACUUCAUUGUUUGGCUCAUUCACUCAAUCCAAGAUUUUACAGCAACAUGUGGCUUCAAGAAGGUGCUGGCCGACUACCCCCCCACAAGGACAAGGAAAUAUCACAAAUGAGGAUGACUUGCUUCAAGAAAUUCUUUCGCAUACCGCAAGAGUUGGCUGCAGUGAAGGAAGAAUAUGCAAGGUUUCUAGUUGUUCAGAAGAAUUCAAUGACCCUGAUUCUAUACAUGAUAGAUGGGCUGUUUCCCCAAUGACAUGGUGGACAAAUCAUGGACAAUCUAUCCCUCUUUUGAUGAGUUUGGCCAUGAAACUGCUCAGCCAACCGGCCUCUUCUUCUUGCUGUGAAAGAAAUUGGAGCACAUAUAGCUUCAUCCAUAGUGUCAAGAGAAAUGCCUUAACUCCUGAGCGGGCUGAAGAUUUGGUCUUUGUGCACUCAAAUCUGAGACAUUUGUCAAGAAGAACUGAUGCAUACAAGAAAGGAGAGACAAGGAUGUGGGAUGUUGGGGGAGAUUCUUUUGAUUCCCUUAGUGGUGUUGGUCUUCUUGAAGUUGCUGACCUCUCCAUUGAUGAACCUGAGUUGCAGGCUGUAUCAUUUGGAUUGGGUGAUGCCGAGGAUGAAGGUGUGGAGCUGGAGGAGACGGGGAAUGAGGAAGAAGCUUGAUGUUGAUGGCUUGAUGCUAGUUUGCUACUACCUUUUAAUUAUUUCCUAAUUUAGAACCUGCUGCUAUCAUGUUAUUUUGAGUGUAAUAGACCUUUAAUGUCUCUAUGUUGAAUUAGAAUAUCUAUUUUGUAAUUUAUUUUGCACUAUUAUUAUUUAUUAAAAAAAAUAGUUAAAACGUA